AGAGACAAACCCCAGGAGAGCCUGAGGUCCUCCAGAGGGAUAUUAGUGAGUGGCUUGUCUGAGCAAAAGCCAUUUCUACUCACCCCACAGUCGUUAGCUCCAUCUCCACACAUGCCCACAUAAUAACUGCGGGAGACAGGAGAAGAAGGAUUAAUAGGUCCAGUCUCUUGGUUCUCCACCAGCUGCCAGGUCACAGAGGCAGGAACAAAUUCUUCUGGUUCAUCGGCCUCAACAAUGAUCACUUGGCUGCCUGGAGGGAUCAUUUCAGAAUUCUUUGCAACAGUAAUGGCCGUUUGAAGGUUAUCACCUAGAAGACAAAGAAACUUUGCUUGCUGUAUGUACAAACCUCCCCUCAGCAACAAGAACUGAGGUCUCCCUUUUCCACUCUGCUUGGUGUUCUUUGAGAGCAUUUACCGCUUUCUGCCUUAUUUUAUCUUCCUCUCUGCUGUAGACUGCCCCUACUGGGCAAACACUAUGUUCCCAUCUCCCUCUCCAUAUUCUGCAUCAUAUCCUGGUCCAUGUGUAUUUCAAAACAUGUGUGAAUUAAUAAAGAAAUACUUAAGCAUUUAUGACCAAUCCUCAGAAGACAGACAACUCUUAGUGGAGAAUAUAGCAUGAUCUCAGCCUGAUAGCUU